UUUUAAUUCAAAUUCAAAUACAUCCUAUGCCAGGGCCUCUGUGUAAAUAGAGCUCUUUCAAGGGGGGAAUCGAAUAUAGAAGGGAUGGGAAAAGAAACCUGAAUUAUUCCUUUGAAUAAACUCUUGAAGUAAAACUAAAUUAAACACCAGGGCCUUAUUUUCUCACCUAAGCGCUGGAUCCUAAGAUAAAGUUGAAGCCAGCCACGCAACAGGUUGUUGUCACUGUUGUUGAUCCUGGCAGCUUAUUUGAAACCGGUUUACCAGCAUGGCAUAGCUUUAACCUAAAUUGACCGGUUGUUGGAAUUGAUUGCGUCUCGCCCUAUUUUCUAGGCUUUUCCUUAGCAGCUUUUCCAAAUCAACUCAAACGACUGCACUAACUUUAUGGAAAAGACUUCGGAGGAGAAAGCUGAUGAGAUAAAAGAGAUGAUUUCAUUAAUGGAGCACAAACAAGAUUUAGGACGGCUUGAGGUUGAAAAUUGUGAUUUAUCACGCACGAUCCAGAAGGGGCUGAAUGGAUUAAUGCCCUGGGGAAUCAUGUGAAGGGCCAGAGAUUCCACAUCAAGAUGUGCUGGAAGUAGCAGGUGAAGAGGAUAAAACUCAGCAAGAUGAAAACGCCGAAGGUGCUAUGGAUACACGUCUCAACUCUUCUUUUUCUCUUGGAUAUAGCUUCAGCAUGCUACGAGCAAAAAGAGCAUUAAAAAAAAAAAAAAGGCAAGUGAGCCUUAAAGCAGCCUUCCAUAGCCUGACUAAAACUGAAAUUAUUCUUUGACCCCUCAGGGAAAACAAACAAGUCCCUCUUUUUAGUUGUGUUAUGGUAUGAUGGAAACAUAAUCAAAGCUAUGCCAGUAUCAGCAGUGCCAUUGAGGGGUUUUGCCUCCAGAACCUCUUCAGGAAGGAAGGAAACAAAUUACGUAACUUUAUGAUAGUCUAAUCAACCCAACAUGAUAGCUAGAAAUAAGUAGUGGAGAGCAGACAGGUUACCUGCUCAUGAGAAAGUCCUGCAAAGAAUAAAAACAAGCAAACAAACAAACAAAACCUAUGCAUUCUCUUUUUUUAGCGGUACCUGUGGCAUGUGGAACUUCUGGAGCCAGGGACUGAAUCCAUGCCACAGCAGCGACCCCAGCCACAGCAGUGACAAUCUGGAUCCUUCACCUACUGAGCCACCAGGGAACUCUAAAGAAUCUAUUUGAUUGAACCUCUGCUUAUAUUUCUUGCCUUCUUUCCACUUUACCUCUUGUCUAUCUAGAUUUUUAAACAUAGAAGUUCCCUUCACAUAGUAUCCAUGAGGAUGUGGGUUCAGCUCCUGUCCUCACUCAUUGGGAUAAGGAUCCAUGCAUUGCCACUACACAGGUGCAGUGUAGACCACAGAUACGGCU
rnacentral:lncRNA from 9 species